rnacentral:antisense_RNA from 1 species
ACGGCACACGCUAGGGUCUCCGUCUCACACACACACACACCACAAUGACGUCGUAACAAACAAUAGCACUAACAACCAUCGUCCGCAGCUCCCGCGUACAGAGGCCUCAGGCUACCGGCUCCACGUGGACCGACCGCGCCCAGCAGCGCGGGGCCACCUCACCGCGAGCUCCUCCCGCAGCCCGGCCCGGGUCACCUCGACUCACCAAGCUUAACUCAAUAACCACAACACCGGAAAAGGAAGCAAAGCUCGAAGUUCAUCCGCGGCCCUGGGGCCUGUGGGAAACGUAGUCCAACAACGAAAGCGCCCUGAAGCUCAAGCGGAGCCCGCUGGCCGCAGGGGCCGCACCACGCCCCAGACCCCGGAGUUUGCGGGUGCGCAGACCCUUGCCCUCAGCAGAGGCUGCCGCUGCGCGUCCCCUAAGCGCGGAAGAGGCGGCUGGUGGUCCCCGACGGCAAGGUUUUAUACAUUACGAAUAAAGCUGGCACGUUUCCAUUUCUCCUGGGCAAAUAUUUAGAAGAAAAGUUGCUAGGUAAUUGAAGCACAGAGACCACAGAGGCAAGAGCUGGGGAAGGAAAACUGCCCAUGAGAUGAGAUGUGCCUCUCAGCUUCCAAAAUCGGGGAGGGUUGCAAAGGGAUGACACCAUCCACACCAGAACUGCAUGAAUGGCAUCAGGGAUGAUCAGAGACCAUAAAUUCCAGUGAGACCAAUAACACCAUUUCUGGUCCUGCAUGCUCUUCCAAACUUUGCCACUAACUCCUUCAAGAGUUGCCCCCCAUAGAAUCCAGCCAUCGUGCUGUGAGGAAUCCAAGCAGCUACAUAGAAAGGCCACAACUAGAUAUUCCAGCUGUAGUCAGCUGAAGCUCCAGCCAACAGCCAACAUCAACCACCACGCGUGAAAACGAGCAAGCCUUCAGAUGAUUCCGACUCCCAACCUUCAAGCCACCUCAGCUGAAGCCAAGUAGAGCAGAGACUAGCUGUCCCCCAAUGCUCUAAUAUGCAGAUUCAUAAUUAAAGAGAAUGUUAUUGUUCUAA